rnacentral:rRNA from 1 species
UCUUCCAUUCCUGUAUAUUACAUGUCCAACAUACUUUUUUCAAAAAAGUUCCUUGCUAAACUAACAACAAUCAUUAGGAACUUUUGGUGGACAGGUAUUCAAGAUGAUCAGACUACUAGAAGCUUGUGCCUUAGGGCAUGGGCUGAUGUAUGUAUUGAGAAGAAAAUUGGUGGUCUUGGUGUUAGAAAUUUGCAGGCAAUCAACCAAGGACUUGUUCUCUCGACGGCAUGGAGAUUGGCAAAAGAGCCGCAAAGUCAGCUAGCAUUGAUUCUCAAGGCAAAGUAUCAUCAUGAUACAUCCAUUUGGAGAGCCCGGCGAACAAACCUAAAUCUGCCUUUUGGUCUGCAAUUCUAA